CUCCCAAACCCCUGUGAACAUACCUUAUGUUGCCUCGGCGGAUCAGCCCGCGCCCCGUAAAAAGGGACGGCCCGCCGCAGGAACCCUAAACUCUGUUUUUAGUGGAACUUCUGAGUAUAAAAAACAAAUAAAUCAAAACUUUCAACAACGGAUCUCUUGGUUCUGGCAUCGAUGAAGAACGCAGCAAAAUGCGAUAAGUAAUGUGAAUUGCAGAAUUCAGUGAAUCAUCGAAUCUUUGAACGCACAUUGCGCCCGCCAGUAUUCUGGCGGGCAUGCCUAUUCGAGCGUCAUUUCAACCCUCAAGCCCAGCUUGGUGUUGGGAGCUGCAGUCCUGCUGCACUCCCCAAAUACAUUGGCGGUCACGUCGAGCUUCCAUAGCGUAGUAAUUUACACAUCGUUACUGGUAAUCGUCGCGGCCACGCCGUUAAACCCCAACUUCUGAAUGUUGACCUCGGAUCAAGUAGGAAUACCCGCUGAACUUAAGCAUAUC
rnacentral:rRNA from 1 species